AUUGAACGCUGGCGGCAUGCCUUACACAUGCAAGUCGAACGGCAGCACGGGAGCAAUCCUGGUGGCGAGUGGCGAACGGGUGAGUAAUAUAUCGGAACGUGCCCGGUCGUGGGGAUAACGUAGCGAAAGCUACGCUAAUACCGCAUACGAUCUACGGAUGAAAGCGGGGGAUCGCAAGACCUCGCGCGAUUGGAGCGGCCGAUAUCAGAUUAGGUAGUUGGUGAGGUAAAGGCUCACCAAGCCGACGAUCUGUAGCUGGUCUGAGAGGACGACCAGCCACACUGGGACUGAGACACGGCCCAGACUCCUACGGGAGGCAGCAGUGGGGAAUUUUGGACAAUGGGCGCAAGCCUGAUCCAGCAAUGCCGCGUGCAGGAUGAAGGCCUGGGUUGUAACUAGCUUUUGUACGGUAACGAAACGGUAGAGC
rnacentral:rRNA from 1 species